CAUAUCAAUAAGCGGAGGAAAAGAAACCAACAGGGAUUGCCCCAGUAACGGCGAGUGAAGCGGCAACAGCUCAAAUUUGAAAUCUGGCCCCCGGGUCCGAGUUGUAAUUUGCAGAGGAUGCUUCGGGCGAGGUGCCUUCCGAGUUCCCUGGAACGGGACGCCACAGAGGGUGAGAGCCCCGUCUGGUCGGACACCGAGCCCGUGUGAAGCUCCUUCGAAGAGUCGAGUAGUUUGGGAAUGCUGCUCAAAAUGGGAGGUAUAUGUCUUCUAAAGCUAAAUAUUGGCCAGAGACCGAUAGCGCACAAGUAGAGUGAUCGAAAGAUGAAAAGCACUUUGAAAAGAGGGUUAAAAAGUACGUGAAAUUGUUGAAAGGGAAGCGCCCAUGACCAGACUUGGGCCCGGUGAAUCACCCGGCGUUCUCGCCGGUGCACUUUGCCGGGCACAGGCCAGCAUCAGUUUGGCGCGGGGGACAAAGGCUUCGGGAACGUGGCUCCCUCGGGAGUGUUAUAGCCCGCUGCGUAAUACCCUGCGCCGGACUGAGGUACGCGCAUCGCAAGGAUGCUGGCGUAAUGGUCAUCAGCGACCCGUCUUGAAACACGGACCAAGGAGUCGUCUUCGUAUGCGAGUGUUCGGGUGUCAAACCCCUACGCGGAAUGAAAGUGAACGCAGGUGAGAGCUUCGGCGCAUCAUCGACCGAUCCUGAUGUUCUCGGAUGGAUUUGAGUAAGAGCAUACGGGGCCGGACCCGAAAGAAGGUGAACUAUGCCUGUAUAGGGUGAAGCCAGAGGAAACUCUGGUGGAAGCUCGCAGCGGUUCUGACGUGCGAAUCGAUCGUCAAAUAUGGGCAUGGGGGCGAAAGACUAAUCGAACCUUCUAGUAGCUGGUUCCGC
rnacentral:rRNA from 1 species